AUCGAACGCUGGCGGCAUGCCUAACACAUGCAAGUCGAGCGAGCGGCGGGCGUGUGAGUAAUGUCUGGGAAACUGCCUGCUGGAGUGGGAUAACUACUGGAAACGGUAGCUAAUACCGCAUACCAUCAGGUCUCCCCAGGUGUGAUCGGCUAGUAGGUGGGGUAACGGCUCACCAAGGCGACGAUCGCUAGCUGGUCUGAGAGGAUGACCAGCCACACUGGGACUGAGACACGGGCCAGACUCCUACGGGAGGCAGCAGUGGGGAAUAUUGCACAAUGGGCGCAAGCCUGAUACAGCCAUGCCGCGUGUAUGAAGAAGGCCUUCGGGUUGUAAAGUACUUUCAGCAGAGAGGCGGUACCCGAAGAAGAAGCACCGGCUAACUCCGUGCCAGCAGCCGCGGUAAUUC
rnacentral:rRNA from 1 species